UCACUUGUCUUCUAAAUAAAGACCAGUAUGAAUGGCUAAAUGAGGACAGACCUGUCUCCUGCACCCAAUCAGUGAAAUUGAUCUUCUGGUCCAAAAGCCAGAAUAAUAUCAUAAGACGAGAAGACCCUGUGGAGCUUAAAAUUUAAUGCUACUUUAAAACUAGCACGCAUUUUAAGUUGGGGCGACUUCGGAACAAAAUAAAACUUCCGAGCAAGGAGCCACCCACUCCUAAUAAGGCCCACACGCCACUACAACAGACCCAGUCACACUGAUCAACGAACCAAGUUACCCCAGGGAUAACAGCGCAAUCCCCUUCAAGAGUCCAUAUCGACAGGGGGGUUUACGACCUCGAUGUUGGAUCAGGACACCCAGAUGGUGCAGCCGCUAUCAAAGGU
rnacentral:rRNA from 1 species